rnacentral:lncRNA from 1 species
GAACUCUUUUCUUAUAAAGUCCUGUCCAUAGGUUCCAGGGAUCAGGAAGUGGAAAUGUAUUGUCAGAGGCCAUCAUUCAGCCCAGAAUGGUGCCCAAAGUUUCGAAGCAAUGUGCCAUGACUGGGUGUGGUCUGCCCACCAGACUCCAUGUGUUAGAAGCGUGGGUGGUGAUGCUGAGAGGUGGUGAGACCUUGAAAAGUGACAUCUCUGCCUGUGUACCAGCCUACCAUGGACUGAACUCUUUGAAACUGUGUUUCGAAGACUGUGGGGCAGAUCAAAGACUCCAACACAAACCUCUCCUUUUGUGAGAUCCAGGGAUUUGUUUUGCUCGAGUUUUAUCAAGUCUUAAGAGCCAGCGCCUUCUAGCAUCUGGUGGAAAAGUCAGAAGAUGUGACCUCACUGGAUUCCUGCUCCGGCCGGAGCUGACCUGGUCCCCGCUGGCUCCGGAAGCUAGGCCGGGGCGUUGGCCUGGGUCUGGCCCCUGCCUUCCAAGAGCCUGCCCCGGACAGCACGCCCCCUGGGGGCCGCCCGAGUAACUGCGCCUCAGUAGCAGGGUCCACCGGUAACAUGGGAGAGAAAGGACGGACUGAAGGCCCGAAAAAUGCUCGGGCACACCCUUUAAAUGUGCA